GACGAACGCUGGCGGCGUGCUUAACACAUGCAAGUCGAACGGAAAGGCCCUGCUUUUGUGGGGUGCUCGAGUGGCGAACGGGUGAGUAACACGUGAGUAACCUGCCCUUGACUUUGGGAUAACUUCGGGAAACUGGGGCUAAUACCGGAUAGGAGCUCCUGCUGCAUGGUGGGGUUUGGAAAGUUUCGGCGGUUGGGGAUGGACUCGCGGCUUAUCAGCUUGUUGGUGGGGUAGUGGCUUACCAAGGCUUCGACGGGUAGCCGGCCUGAGAGGGUGACCGGCCACAUUGGGACUGAGAUACGGCCCAGACUCCUACGGGAGGCAGCAGUGGGGAAUAUUGCACAAUGGGCGGAAGCCUGAUGCAGCAACGCCGCGUGCGGGAUGACGGCCUUCGGGUUGUAAACCGCUUUCGCCUGUGACGAAGCGUGAGUGACGGUAAUGGGUAAAGAAGCACCGGCUAACUACGUG
rnacentral:rRNA from 1 species